ACUUCUUGCCGGGAGUCAGACAGUGAGUGCUAAGAUCCAUUGUCAAAAGGGAAACAGCCCAGACCAUCAGCUAAGGUCCCGAAGUGUGUGUUAAGUGGGAAAGGAUGUGGAGUUGCCCAGACAACCAGGAUGUUGGCUUAGAAGCAGCCACCAUUGAAAGAGUGCGUAAUAGCUCACUGGUCGAGUGACUCUGCGCCGAAAAUGUAACGGGGCUAAACACACCACCGAAGCUAUGGCUAGAUACGGUUGUAUCUGGGGUAGGGGAGCGUUGUGUAUGCGUUGAAGGUGUACCGUAAGGAGCGCUGGAGAGUACACAAGUGAGAAUGCCGGUAUGAGUAACGAAAAGAUCAGUGAGAAUCUGAUCCGCCGAAAGCCCAAGGUUUCCUGAGGAAGGCUCGUCCGCUCAGGGUAAGUCGGGACCUAAGGCGAGGCCGACAGGCGUAGUCGAAGGACAACAGUUUGAAAUUACUGUACCACCGUAAUCCGCGAUGAGCGAUGGGGUGACGCAGGAGGGUAGUGACGCGGACUGAUGGAUGUCCGUC
rnacentral:rRNA from 1 species